rnacentral:rRNA from 1 species
AACUGCACAAUGUGGGAAACCACGAUGCGGGAAACCCAAGUGCCAGCGCUAUGCGUUGGCUGUCCUCCAGUGUUCGUAACUGGGGAAGAAAGUGCUGGGUAAGACGGGUGCCAGCCGCCGCGGUAAUACCCGCAGCACAAGUGGUGGUCAUUAUUAUUGGGCCUAAAGCGUCCGUAGCUGGCCUGUUAGAUGCCUGGGUAAAUCGAUGCGCUCAACGUAUCGAACUCCGGGUAGACCGGCAGGCUUGGGACCGGGAGAGGCGUGAGCUACUCGGGGGGUAGGGGUAAAAUCCUGUAAUCCUCCGGGGAGGACCAGUGGCGAAGGCGUCACGCUAGAACGGCUCCGACAGUGAGGGACGAAGCCCUGGGGAGCAAACCGGAUUAGAUACCCGGGUAGUCCCAGCUGUAAACGAUGCAGACUCGGUGAUGAGUUGGCUUAUUGCUAACUCAGUGCCGCAGGGAAGCCGUUAAGUUUGCCGCCUGGGGAGUACGGUCGCAAGACUGAAACUUAA